rnacentral:rRNA from 1 species
UGAAUGAAAGCUUGCUUUCAUUCGGUUAGCGGCGGACGGGUGAGUAACACGUGGCAACCUGCCCGUAAGACCGGGAUAACUUCGGGAAACCGGAGCUAAUACCGGAUAACACCGAAGAUCGCAUGAUCUUUGGUUGAAAGGCGGCUUUGGCUGUCACUUACGGAUGGGCCCGCGGCGCAUUAGCUAGUUGGUGAGGUAACGGCUCACCAAGGCGACGAUGCGUAGCCGACCUGAGAGGGUGAUCGGCCACACUGGGACUGAGACACGGCCCAGACUCCUACGGGAGGCAGCAGUAGGGAAUCUUCCGCAAUGGACGAAAGUCUGACGGAGCAACGCCGCGUGAGCGAAGAAGGUCUUCGGAUUGUAAAGCUCUGUUGUUAGGGAAGAACAAGUACCGUUCGAAGAGGGCGGUACCGUGACGGUACCUAACGAGAAAGCCACGGCUAACUACGUGCCAGCAGCCGCGGUAAUACGUAGUGGCAAGCGUUGUCCGGAAUUAUUGGGCGUAAAGCGCGCGCAGCGGUUCCUUAAGUCUGAUGUGAAAGCCC